rnacentral:rRNA from 1 species
CCUACGGGAGGCAGCAGUGGGGAAUCUUCCGCAAUGGGCGAAAGCCUGACGCAGCAACGCCGCGUGAUCGAAUGAAGGCCUUCGGGUUGUAAAGAUCUGUUGACAGGGGCGAAUAAGCAACGCGAAUAGUUUUGUGUAUGACGGUACCUGUUUAGAAAGCUCCGGCUAACUACGGGCCCGCAGCCGCGGUAAUACGUAGGGAGCAAGCGUUGUCCGGAAUUACUGGGCGGAAGGGGCUGGUAGGUGGGCGCUUAAGUCAGGUGUGAAAACUCCGGGCCCAACCUGGGGACUGCACUUGAAACUGGGUGUCUUGAGUGCAGGAGAGGAAAGUGGAAUUCCUGGUGUAGCGGUGAAAUGCGUAGAUAUUAGGAGGAACACCAGUGGCGAAGGCGACUUUCUGGACUGUACCUGACGCUGAGGCGCGAAAGCGUGGGUAGCGAACGGGAUUAGAUACCCGGGUAGUC